GCAGCACCGUCCCCUGUGAGUGUGGUGAGAAAAGGUCACACAGGGAAGAGCAGCAUCGCUCUUUCUUGGGCAGAGCCUGACCGCCCCAAUGGCAUCAUCCUGGAGUACGAGAUCAAGUAUUUUGAGAAGGAGCAGGACUCCAGUUACACCAUUAUAAAAUCCAAGGAGACAGAGAUGGUGGUGGAAGGCCUGAAGCCCUCUUCAGCCUACAUCUUUCAGGUGCGAGCCAGGACCUCAGCAGGCUAUGGCGCAUUUAGCCGACGUUUUGAAUUCCAGACCAGCCCUUACUUGACUGCAACCAGCGAGCGUGCUCAGGCUUCGAUAGUAGCAGUGGCCAUCACGUUGGCUCUGGUCCUACUGGCGGUAGUCGCUGGAUUUCUGCUCAGC